GACAGCUGGCAACACACUUGCCGUACGUGCAUAGCACCAAUAUUUCCAAAUGCAAGAGGGAGCCCAAAAACUUCAAAGGUUUUAUAAGGAAAAUAUCUGCGAGAAGAAAUAAAUGGAGCCAAAGCAAGUAAACCUGACAUGAUAGAAUCUGGAAACUAUAUAGCAAAGGGCUAUGGGCAGGAGUGAACGAUAUCUGAAGUUUCCUCCCUGGACCUGAAAAAGGAGUGGAGAACCUAUGUAAGUGCAGGAGGAGCAGAGAUGGACAGUGGACGAGAUAGGAUGAUGAAGCUGAUGAUAAUUAUAUUACAGGCUACAGAUCCAGCUCCUCCUUCGGAUGCGAAGUGCCACAGCACUUACUCAGUUCUCACUGCAGGACUCAGAGAAGACAAAUCCUGCUGGCAGUGCCGCUCCCCCUCUGCCUCACCAGCGGAGCCUUGGUCAGGGCUGCGGCUCCUUGGGCUCGGGGCGCGCGAGUGCCUGUGCCCAUGCCACCCACAACUGAGAAAUGGGAACAUUUCUGCACUCAACAAAUUCAGCGCCUCAAAUCUGUUUGGGGGAGUGGCAGCUUGCACAACAGAGGGAUUGGGAUUUUAACAGCUGGGGAGCUUUUGUGUUGUACAGCCUUUCAUUUUUUAAAAAAGGGGUGAUUUUUUUUAGAAGGAGAUCCAUCAAUAAUAUAGGUGAGCAAGAGAAGCAUGCUUGCUUGACCAGGGUGUGAGUCUUGAUAGUCUACUCUCUUUAAAGAUAAGGAACUGCCCCUCAUUACUAGACCAGCACUUCCCUCUCAUCCCCUUCCAAAUAAACACAUCUCUACUGUCAGAAUGAUGACGUCUGAUUCGUACGAUGUGGGGCGGCGGACUAAUGAAAGCCAUGGAGAGUACCUCCCUUGCUACGUUUAGAAGAGGAAGAUAAUGAGACUUCUGGGAGAUGCUGCUAGCGGAAUACUACAGCACGCCAGGUGAUGUUUAAAUGAAAUGUAAAGACCAAUAUUUUUUGCAAGGUUAAGGACAGAGACCAUAGCCAGAAUGUUUUGUUUCCAAAUGGACAUCUGGCAAAUAUUGAUCUACAAUCGUAUUUAGUGUGGAAUGGAAAGUACCGGUUGUGACAUGAGCAGUCAAUAUUUUUUUAGACUAUUGAUCCUUACAGUGGCUAUUGAUGGGUUUUUAGGCGAUAGCACAAUCUAUUUUUUCAUUUAGCUUAGCUUAAAAUAAUUGGAUUGCAAGUUGUGUGCCUGUAUAUGUGGAAAAGGACUCAAUAUGCAAAUAUUGUUUCUCAUCAUUGGCAAUGUAUACAAAAUAAAUAUUCAUUUUUAAGUGGGUUUUUUUCCCCCUGUUAUUUAGUAUGACUACUCAGAUAUUAUAACUUGGAUAUGAUAAAAAGUGAAGUUGGCUUCAGGGGAGUCCAGAUGCCACCAUCUCCCCUCUGCUGCCUGACUUGAACUUUUUUCUCAAAAAAACCCUGCUUCUAUGAAUAAACUGUUAGAAUGAACACAUAAGGGAUCUAGCUGAUUUCUGCAGACAAAUCAUCUUUUCACUCUCUCUCAUCCCAUUUGAUUUAAUUGUUUGCUUUCGUCUGCAGAGAAAACAUGUUGUUGCCUACCACUUGGGGAUUUUAUAUAAGGUUCAGUAAGUACUCUUGAGUGUACUGGAUUUUAUGAAUUGUAAAAUAAACCGAUGAUAUUUUUUGUUCAAUUAAAAGAAGCUGUACAUGGGGAAGGACUGGCAUACAAGAAAUGGCAGUAAAUUGCAAGCCACGUCAUGCCUUGAGGUGUUAGUUCUUGUGAUUGCUAUUUAUAUUUCAGUGCAGACUGGAGUCUUUCUUUUGACCAAGGCAUAAUAUUCCCACUAUAGGCAAUAGCCAGCUAAUGCUCCAGCCAUUCUGUAAAUAAGUUAAUCCAGUGUUUGCAUUUGGUCCCUCCUGUGAGAGCUAGACACAGAACUGAGGUGUUUAUUGUACAGACUCAA